rnacentral:misc_RNA from 1 species
AACGCACGAGACCUGCGGACCUGCGGAGGGAUCAUCAUUGAAUAAGAAUCUUUUCCAAGCUUUUUUUGGGGGAGGAGGAAUAGAGUUUUUGUGAAAAGUCUUUUUCUCUUUCCCUUGGGGCUUGGCAAACAACUUUGAUACCCAAAAAGAGUUUUGCCCUUUGUCCUUUGUCUUUAGCUUCUUCGGCUUUGGCUCCCACCAGUUUUGUCUGGCUGGGUUUGUUGAAUCUGAGGAGUGUUU